rnacentral:tRNA from 1 species
CCGGGGUGCCCGAGCGGCCUAAGGGGGUAGGCUCGAGUUACCUACUGCCCCAUACGGGGCACGCGGGUUCGAAUCCCGCCCCCGGCGC